rnacentral:rRNA from 1 species
GACGAACCGUCCAACCGUUAUUCGGAAUCACUGGGCUUACAGAGUUCGUAGGCGGUCUGGAAAGUUGGGUGUGAAAUCCCUCGGCUCAACCGAGGAACUGCGCUUGAAACUACCAGACUCGAGGGAGAUAGAGGAAAGCGGAACUGAUGGUGGAGCGGUGAAAUGCGUUGAUAUCAUCAGGAACACCGGUGGCGAAGGCGGCUUUCUGGACGGACACUGACGCUGAGACGCGAAAGCGUGGGUAGCAAACAGG